CAGCACACUACGAUAGAAACAUAGAAACGACCAGGACGACAGACACAUGCACCAUUGGAGGACAUAUCGAAGACACAAGACCUGUGAACCCGCAGAGAAGCCGCUCCAUUGCCAGGCACUUACUGGCCACCACGGAGACGGAGCACCAAGUGAAGGGUGGACUCCUUCUGGAUGUUAUAGUCCGCCAGGGUGCGGCCAUCCUCAAGCUGCUUACCAGCGAAGAUGAGACGCUGCUGGUCCGGGGGGAUGCCCUCCUUGUCCUGGAUCUUCGCCUUCACGUUGUCAAUGGUGUCCGAGGACUCAACCUCCAGGGUGAUGGUCUUGCCAGUGAGGGUCUUCACAAAAAUCUGCAUGCCACCACGGAGCCUGAGCACCAGGUGGAGGGUGGACUCCUUCUGGAUGUUGUAGUCAGCGAGGGUGCGGCCAUCCUCAAGCUGCUUGCCAGCAAAGAUGAGACGCUGCUGGUCCGGAGGGAUGCCCUCCUUGUCCUGGAUCUUAGCCUUGACGUUGUCGAUGGUGUCCGAGGACUCGACCUCAAGGGU
rnacentral:rRNA from 1 species